AGAGUUUGAUCAUGGCUCAGAACGAACGCUGGCGGCGUGCUUAACACAUGCAAGUCGAACGAUGAUGCCCAGCUUGCUGGGCGGAUUAGUGGCGAACGGGUGAGUAAUACGUGAGUAACCUGCCCUUGACUCUGGGAUAAGCCUGGGAAACUGGGUCUAAUACUGGAUACUACCUCUUACCGCAUGGUGGGUGGUGGAAAGGGUUUUACUGGUUUUGGAUGGGCUCACGGCCUAUCAGCUUGUUGGUGGGGUAAUGGCUCACCAAGGCGACGACGGGUAGCCGGCCUGAGAGGGUGACCGGCCACACUGGGACUGAGACACGGCCCAGACUCCUACGGGAGGCAGCAGUGGGGAAUAUUGCACAAUGGGCGGAAGCCUGAUGCAGCGACGCCGCGUGAGGGAUGACGGCCUUCGGGUUGUAAACCUCUUUCAGUAGGGAAGAAGCGAGAGUGACGGUACCUGCAGAAGAAGCGCCGGCUAACUACGUGCCAGCAGCCGCGGUAAUACGUAGGGCGCAAGCGUUGUCCGGAAUUAUUGGGCGUAAAGAGCUCGUAGGCGGUUUGUCGCGUCUGCUGUGAAAGCCCGGGGCUCAACCCCGGGUCUGCAGUGGGUACGGGCAGACUAGAGUGCAGUAGGGGAGACUGGAAUUCCUGGUGUAGCGGUGAAAUGCGCAGAUAUCAGGAGGAACACCGAUGGCGAAGGCAGGUCUCUGGGCUGUUACUGACGCUGAGGAGCGAAAGCAUGGGGAGCGAACAGGAUUAGAUACCCUGGUAGUCCAUGCCGUAAACGUUGGGCACUAGGUGUGGGGGACAUUCCACGUUUUCCGCGCCGUAGCUAACGCAUUAAGUGCCCCGCCUGGGGAGUACGGCCGCAAGGCUAAAACUCAAAGGAAUAGACGGGGGCCCGCACAAGCGGCGGAGCAUGCGGAUUAAUUCGAUGCAACGCGAAGAACCUUACCAAGGCUUGACAUUCACCGGACCGCCCCAGAGAUGGGGUUUCCCUUCGGGGCUGGUGGACAGGUGGUGCAUGGUUGUCGUCAGCUCGUGUCGUGAGAUGUUGGGUUAAGUCCCGCAACGAGCGCAACCCUCGUUCUAUGUUGCCAGCACGUGAUGGUGGGGACUCAUAGGAGACUGCCGGGGUCAACUCGGAGGAAGGUGGGGAUGACGUCAAAUCAUCAUGCCCCUUAUGUCUUGGGCUUCACGCAUGCUACAAUGGCCGGUACAAAGGGUUGCGAUACUGUGAGGUGGAGCUAAUCCCAAAAAGCCGGUCUCAGUUCGGAUUGAGGUCUGCAACUCGACCUCAUGAAGUCGGAGUCGCUAGUAAUCGCAGAUCAGCAACGCUGCGGUGAAUACGUUCCCGGGCCUUGUACACACCGCCCGUCAAGUCACGAAAGUUGGUAACACCCGAAGCCGGUGGCCUAACCCCUUGUGGGAGGGAGCCGUCGAAGGUGGGACUGGCGAUUGGGACUAAGUCGUAACAAGGUAACC
rnacentral:rRNA from 1 species